rnacentral:lncRNA from 1 species
AAGUGGGCGUGGAAAGAGAGCGGAAGCCGAAACUAGGCGGCUUCACAGAUCUUGCACUGGGUCCCUGUGCCUGCCUGCCAUCGAGGAUCCAAAAUCUAAGGAUGAUGCUCGGAGUCCCACCACAGCCUGUCAGAGUUCACAUAGCGAAACCCAAAACGCCUGCCCCUGUGACAUCAUCUGAAUUCAGCCACCCUCACUACUGCCACCAGCCCAGGAUAAGGAUCAUAUUUCCAGUCUCCUCUGCAGCUACCCGGCCACUGGACCAAUCUCCAACCAGGCAGAUAAAGGGAUGGAAGUUAGAGGCUCGCCUGGUGACUUCCGGUAACAGCUUUGUACCACUUUCCCUAGAACGAUCCUCCUGCCUCCUUCCUGCCAGCUCCAUGGAUUGUAAAAUCACGUUGGGUGUGGCAGCCAGACAGAAUAAAGCACCAAAUUAAAACAGGUGCCAGUGUCCCCAUGUCAUGCAGAGCCAGCCCCAGCCUAUCUCCAGGUUUCCAAAAUAAAGAGAAAAAUGAGAUUGCCCUGUGCCCAAAACUGUGGCUAUUUGAGAGUUUUCUAUUACAAGUAGGCAAACUCAUUCCUAGCCAGUAUAGAGGCUGAGCGGCCAAGGGGUCAGGGGAAUCGGCUCAAGCAGGAUGGACAGGAAGGUAUCCCUGAGGGUGUGACAUUUGGGCAGAACAAAAGGAGGGAGAAGCCAAGCUGUGUGGGCAAGGGUGUCCCAGGCAGAACUUGCUCCCUGUCACCUAAGCUGGAAACCCAAGCCUUGUCCCCAGGCACCUUUCUGUUCUACAGGCCACAUUUCACCUGUCACCAAAUGAGUUCAGAACAAAGGAAACCAACUAAGGACACACACUCCCAGUCUCACCUCUCAGGCUGCCUUCUGCAGUCUGGCCCACAAAGGGUUAAACUGCCCCCCACCCCACCCCCUCCAAAGAGCUCUGUGAUGGAGCCUGGGGCCUUGUCUGGAAAACUGAUCUUGUGGGUUCUUUUAGUUCUGUAAGUCUGUGGUACUUUGUUAGGCAAUCCUUAAAGGAGAGGUUUCCUUUCAGGUAUGAUAUGGUCUGACUGUGUAGCCCAGAUUGGGCUCGAACUCACAAUCUUCCUGCCUGAGCCUCCAAGGGCUGGGGCUUUGUGAAGGUUAUGUUUUAUUGAGAUGUAAACUCACAUAUUACAUAAUUUAACCAUC